UACACACACACACACACACACACCUCGCUCCUAAUUUUGAAUCAUAAGGGUUAAUGUUUCUAUUUGAAAGUCUUAUUCUUCUGUUGGAGGGGCUGAGAAAGGGCAAACCAGAGACCAGUCACAAAGCCUCACAUCUUUUUAGAGACUAAAAAUAAGCCAUGAAUUAAAGACCCUGACUUCUACUUUGAAGAGGGACAAGGAAAAUUAUUUUGACAUCCUGCUCCUGAACAGAGAGCCCUGAAGUGUGCCACUAACUGCAGCAGAACAUCCAGCAUGAAAACCCAUUACAUCAAUCACAGCUAAAGACUUGUCUACACUGAGAAAUUAAUUCAGAUUAAGGUUUAAACUUGAAGAGGAUCCAUGUGAAGAUAAGGAAGGUGGUGGAGUCUGAGAAUGGCCAGGUCCUUGACUGGGAAGAGGCAUACCAACAGGCCCAGGAGAGGAGGAAAAGCCGAGCCCGUUAUAAAAACUGUG